rnacentral:rRNA from 1 species
GACGAACGCUGGCGGCGUGCUUAACACAUGCAAGUCGAACGGAAAGGCCCUGCUUUUGUGGGGUGCUCGAGUGGCGAACGGGUGAGUAACACGUGAGUAACCUGCCCUUGACUUUGGGAUAACUUCAGGAAACUGGGGCUAAUACCGGAUAGGAGCUCCUGCUGCAUGGGGGGGGUUGGACAGUUUCGGCGGUUGGGGAUGGACUUGCGGCUUAUCAGCUUGUUGGGUGGGUAGUGGCUUACCAAGGCUUUGACGGGUACCCGGCCUGAGAGGGUGACCGGCCACAUUGGGAUUGAGAUACGGCCCAGACUACUACGGGACGCAGCGGUGGGGAAUAUUGUACAAUGGGCGGAAGCCUGAUGCAGCAACGCCGCGUGCGGGAUAACGGCCUGCGGGUUGUAAACCGCUUUCGUAUGUGACGAAGAGUGAGUGACGGUAAUGGGUAAAGAAGCCCCGGCUAACUACGUG